GACCUGAUGGUACAACAGUUAGUGCGUCUGUUGAAUAUCGCGUUGUAUUUUCGUUUAUGCAGAAGCUCCCGGUUCGAAUCCGGGUCAGGUCA